CAGCAAGCUCCUGUCAAUGGCCUGAACCUCCGUCUCCAAGUCCGACGCCAUCUUCCUCCCCCCUCCAGCGGCACCACCAAGUGCAUAAGGCACAUAAGAUGAAAGGCCUCUCUCAGAAGGAAGGGAAAGAAAAGAAAACUACAUGACAUAGUGAGAUGUCCCUCCUGUGAUAAGCAUGAAGUUAUAAAACCUUUGUGGUUUGGUCUUGUGAAAGAAAUCGAGGAAGGGGAGAGGAUGCCACCACAAAAUCUGGGACACCAAAACACUCCAAAUUUCAUGGUGUCUGUGAUGGGGGAUCCAGCCCCCGCACUCCGGGUCAUUCGCCAGCGGCUGCCCGGCAC